rnacentral:rRNA from 1 species
UGGGGAAUAUUGGGCAAUGGGCGCAAGCCUGACCCAGCAACGCCGCGUGAAGGAAGAAGGCUUUCGGGUUGUAAACUUCUUUUGUCAGGGACGAGUAGAAGACGGUACCUGACGAAUAAGCCACGGCUAACUACGUGCCAGCAGCCGCGGUAAUACGUAGGGGCGAGCGUUGUCCGGAAUGACUGGGCGUAAAGGGUGUGUAGGUGGUUUGAUAAGUUAGAUGUGUAAUACCCAGGGCUUAACUCGGGUGCUGCAUCUAAAACUGUUAGACUUGAGUACUGGAGAGGAUAGUGGAAUUCCUAGUGUAGCGGUGGAAUGCGUAGAUAUUAGGAGGAACAUCAGUGGCGAAGGCGACUAUCUGGACAGCAACUGACACUGAGGCACGAAAGCGUGGGGAGCAAACAGGAUUAGAUACCCUGGUAGU